CAUCCUCCAAGGCUAAAUACUCCUGACUGACCGAUAGUGAACCAGUACCGUGAGGGAAAGGCGAAAAGAACCCCGGCGAGGGGAGUGAAAAAGAACCUGAAACCGUGUACGUACAAGCAGUGGGAGCCCCACCACUAAGCCAGUGGUGAACUCCACAUACGCAUCCUUCGCUGAGGAUACGGUUAACGGAGCGAAAGCGACGUUCAACCGCAAAAGAAGCAGAGGGGGCUUAGUGGUGGGGUGACUGCGUACCUUUUGUAUAAUGGGUCAGCGACUUAUAUUCUGUAGCAAGGUUAACCGUAUAGGGGAGCCGUAGGGAAACCGAGUCUUAACCGGGCGUUAAGUUGCAGGGUAUAGACCCGAAACC
rnacentral:rRNA from 1 species